GGUCAAAUGUGUGCUCAAUGGUGGAUUGAAAAAAGAGGUUGUAGCUGACCAAUCAAAAAGAAAAAGAAGAUUGAAACGUGAAAGAAAAUCAGAGCAAGCAAGUUCGUGUAGUUAUAAACAGCCAAAAGACUCACAGCAUGUUAUACCUGAAGAAUGUACUCAGGAAGUUUAUGAGAAAACUGAAAAUCUACCCUUUGAUGGUCAAGAAAUUUAUACCAGUCUGUUAAAGUCAAUGCAUGCUAUUGUUCCUGUUGACAACCAGUACAAAGCAUUUUUAAUGCAAGACUACAACAUGUGUAAGAAGAUG